rnacentral:lncRNA from 1 species
GUUCACAGACCGUGAAGAAGCUCCACCCCAAACACAGAGGCACUGCUUGCUUUGGCCCCAAAACCCUGGUGCAGGACCUAGGGGACGUAGGGCGGCAGGACGAACAUUGGCCCGGCCCUCGCCUCCUCCUGUGACCCCGCAACCCCUCACCUCCCGCGGGGAGAAGAGGCGUAAGAAAAAGAUGGAUUAUUCAAUCAAAGGUGUUGGGAAAUCUGGAGAGCCAUCUAGAAAAAAAGUAAAUUGGAUCAACACUUCAUGCUUUGUAUCAAAAUAAACUACUUAUGGAGCGUUACAUGUAAAUGCUUGUUCCCUGGUGCCACAAAGAAAUAGCACUUCAACAUAAAUUUAAUCCUCUUAGCAAGGCAAUCUUUACUUUCUGCAGAAAGGGUGCUCAUUGCCGAUGGAAUAAUGGCGAAAGCAUACCUGAACAAAGGAGGGAAGCAAUUUUUAUUCCUUACGCAGUUUGUCCCUGCUACUGUGUCCUGUCUCCAUUGGCUGGAGCCAGACCACACAAUCUAAACUAAAACCUGAUUGGCUAACAGUUUAAAACUUUUCUAAAUAGGUGAAAGGAAUGGAAAGACAAAGGAAAAGAGGAAAUUGCUUAUGCCAAAUAAGGAAGGGGCAUAGGCUGCGAGCUGGAACGUGCCUGUGAGCAUGUCCAGCACAAAUAUUUUGCUUAAGGUACAAGGACAUAGAAUGUACUACGUGCCUGUGAGCAUGUUUAACAGCUACGUAGGAUAGAGCCUAACAAAAAGUUAUUAGCAUACAGUAAGGAGGCUUAAAGGAAGUUAGUCUUUAAAAAAAAAACUAUUAUUUCUAACACUUAUGAUUUAUUCCUUAACAAGAAGGGAAAGUUUAAAGAGGAACUUUUUACUUUCUACAUGGAGGAAAGAUUGAAAUAUGAAAAGUGAAAGCACAAAAGUACUAGAUGAGAACAUGGGAGAAUUUUAUUUUAUUUUUUUUGAGACAGAGUUUUGCUCUUGUUGCCCAUGCUGGAGUUCAAUGGCGCAAUCUCGGCUCACUGCAACCUCUGCCUCCCAAAUUCAAACAAUUCUCCUGCCUCAGCCUCCCAGAGUAGCUGGGAUUACAGGCAUGUGCCAUCACACCCGGCUAAUUUUGUAUUUUUAGUAGAGACGAGGUUUCUCCAUGUUGGUCAGGCUGGUCUUGAACUCCUGACCGAGGUGGGUGAGCCACUCACCUCGGCCUCCCAAAGUGCUGGGAUUACAGGUGUGAGCCACCAUGCCCGGUCAAAAAUUUUUAUAUAUAUACAAUCUUGCUAUGGACAAGCUUUCCUCAGGAUGGUAAAGCAAACACACAAAUAAAUAAAUAAAAUAAGAAGCGGUCAAAGAAAAUGUUAAUAGGCCAGGCGCAGUGCCUCACACCUGUAAUACUAGCACUUUGG